GCCGGGUGCGGUGGCAUGUGCCUGUAAUCCAAGUCACUGGGAGGCUGAGGUUGGUGGAUCAAGUGAGCUGAGGAGCUCUGGGCUGCAGCACACUAUGUUGAACGGGUGUCCACGCUAAGUUCGGUAUCGAUAUGGUGUUCCAGGGGGAGCCCGGGACCACCAGGUUGUCUAAGGAGGGGUGAACCGGCCCAGGUCGGAAACGAAGCAGGUCAAAUCCCCCGUGCUGUCCAGUAGUUGGAUAAUACCUGUGAGUAGAUGCUGCAGUGCAGCCUUGGCGAAACAUCGAGACCUAAUCUUUU
ensembl:misc_RNA Metazoa_SRP Metazoan signal recognition particle RNA